rnacentral:rRNA from 1 species
UGGGGAAUUUUCCGCAAUGGGGGCAACCCUGACGGAGCAAUACCGCGUGAGGGGGGAAGGCCCUUGGGUUGUAAACCUCUUUUCUCAGGGAAGAAGCAAGUGACGGUACCUGAGGAAUCAGCAUCGGCUAACUCCGUGCCAGCAGCCGCGGUAAUACGGAGGGAGCUAGCGUUGUUCGGAAUUACUGGGCGUAAAGCGCGCGUAGGCGGCCAUUCAAGUCAGAGGUGAAAGCCCGGGGCUCAACUCCGGAACUGCCUUUGAAACUAGAUGGCUAGAAUCCAGGAGAGGUGAGUGGAAUUCCGAGUGUAGAGGUGAAAUUCGUAGAUAUUCGGAAGAACACCAGUGGCGAAGGCGACUCACUGGACUGGUAUUGACGCUGAGGUGCGAAAGCGUGGGGAGCAAACAGGAUUAGAUACCCCCGUAGUCC